AUGUGGCAAAUGUUUCUGUCGCAAGUCACACUUAACUCUUCACCAUAGAAUCCAUACAGGUGAGAAGCCCUAUGAAUGUAAAGAUUGCAGAAAAGCUUUUUUCUGUAAGUCAGGACUUGCCCGACAUCUGGGUACUCAUACACAUGGUACUAAUACAAAGAAUAGAGAAAAGCAUUUUCCUGCAACUCAGAGCUCAGUGAAUAUCAGAAAUGAUACACAAGUUCGAAACCCAGUGGCUAUAAAGAAUGAAGAAAAACACUCUACUAUAAAUCAGUCCUCAGUCCAUAUGAUGGACUUCUUAGAGUUGAGAAGUCCUAUAGAUGUACAUAAUGCAGGAAAACUUGCCUUCUUAACUCAUACCUCAUUCAAUAUGAACGAACUUAGGUGAGACACACAGAGAAGAUUAGAAAGUGUGUAGUCAACCAGGAUCACUUGACAUCAGAGAAUGCCUGUAGAAGGAAUACAGCAAAGAACUGCCACAAGGGAGACCUCUCAACAUCAGAAGAACAUUUUGUCUGGAAAGAAUACAGGAAAGCUCUACCAUAGUUGUCUCAAUGCAAGCAACUCAAACAUGGAAAGAAGCUUAUGAAUUAAAAGCCAAAAGUUUGAAUUUAUGUAAUGAAGAACCCUGAGAAUCUAUAAAAAUCAAAAACAUUUUCCAGUGUAGACUAGUAUCUAUGUACUAACCUUGAAAAACAAACAUUUAAAAGACCCUUUUAAAGAACAUAGAAAAACUUUGAUAAGUCAGAUCACAUUCUACAUCAAAAAAGUCAUACAGGUGAGAGACUAUGUACAAAUCAAUUUUUCAUUCCAUUUCAUUGAGACAUAGAUAUUCAAGAUUAGGGACAUCAUAUCCUCUCCAAUUCUGGGUGGGCCUAGAGUGUUUAAGGGCAUGUGUAGAAAUGUGAUGUUUUGAAGUGGUGUUAAGGUAUCUUGGAAAUGACUGAUUCUGUAUCUGGUAGGAGGUAGUGGCUUACUUUGUAGGACUGCUAAAGUCACUGGUAAUCGGUGUUUUCUGAUUCUCAUUUGCAAGAGAAAAAUGUGGUAAAUCUUCUGAUAAAGUCAUUUUAAUCUGACAGUCAAUGGCAUAGGAGGUCCAGAAAUUAACAGUGGUUAUUUCCUGAUCUCAGAGAAGUGACGAUUGAGAAUGGUAACAUUUAUACCAAAUUAGUAGCACAGGAGAGUUCAAGGUAGUUGGGGUUUGUACCACACUUUGCAGAUACAGAAGGGAAUCCAGACCAGUGCCUAAGAUAACAAACCAAGUGAGUGUCAGAGCCAGGACCGAAUAUCCUAUCUCCGCUCAGUGUUGCUUGCGUCAACCCUGCACCAUUUUACUUGACCAGUUUAUACAGCUUCCUGUUGGUGGGUGAAGGGAGGAGAGUCUUCAUUAUCAUUUUCCAACUCUGGCAGAAGAGAAUCUCAAUAAUAUUGUCAUGAGGGACUGUCUUAAGCCAAGCAAUAGCCAUCUCAGGGAAUUCAGCUGUGUCCCCUUCCAAAAGCUCAUCCCAACUGGGCUUAUUGAUGGUCUCUACUCUCUUCUCCUCCCAGCAUCUAACUGCUCCCUACCAACUGGCAGUUCUGCAGACUGCCUAGGGGAAGAUUUAAAGUGAGUGCCAGGGAAGACGAGGGAAGGGGUCACAUCCUCCAUCUAUGCUGUUUUGGGGGGGAAAAUCCCAUUCUUGCUGAGUAAGGCUUUCUAGUUGUGGCCCACUAGGGGCAGUAUACCGAUACCCUUGUAAGUAUCCUUACCAGUGCUCUGUAAGGAAGCCAAAUAAAGUCUUUGGUUUAUUUAUGAACUUUGUGGAAUCCUGGCUCUCUUUGUCAUUAGUACCUUAGGGGAAGAGGUAGAGAUUUCUUUACACCUCCCCCUGCAAAGGAAUUUAUAGCAACAUGGACUCCCCAUUAGGAUGAAUCUUAACUCAAGAUGAGGCAGUAGCAUUGAGCAUCCCUAUGGUAGGUUGGAUCUCUAGGAAGUCAGGGUGAUCUUCUUAUUAUCCAAAUCCAGCCUUUCUUUCCGUUUCCCUUGUUAGUUAUCGAUACUCCAUUAGAAAGAGUAGAUAAUGCAAGAAAAUUUUAUGCUCAGAAAAUUCUACACUUAGGUCGAAUUGAAGAGGUACUGAUUAGAAGAAGUUUACACAAGAUAUGUUAAAAUAUUACUAUUUACUUUAAUAUCUUCCAAGAAUCUCAGUAAUCUUCCCUGACUCAGUGUAGUGAGAAAAUGAGAGGGUGACUUCUGGAAACAAGUUAAUGAGUUUUUAGUUGAGUAACCUUCUGGGCCAUGAAUGGGUACUGAGGUAUGGGCAUUUAUUAUCAUUUCUACGACUGUGUUGGCACAGUGUCAUUCCUUUACUUGCCACCUUUCUCACUGACCUGGUGCUUCUGGAUCUUCGUGAAGGAUUAUGUGGAUGUGUGUAGGGAGCUGCGACGUGCCACGCCUCAAAGAUGGCGCUGGUUUCUGCCUUCCACCUUCCCAACGGUGAGCACUCCUUGUAGUAAACAAGUCCUCAUUUGGCUAUGCCUGCCUGGCCUGCUAGCUUCCGCAUAGUGACAGCCUAUCUACAUGACCCACGUGGCUUGCUAGGUUUGGCCAGCGCUAGCUAUUUAAGUGUGGUGCAGGGGCUCCCUGGGGUCAGAAGAUUGUAUCAAGGUUUCUGAGUAAAACUGUUUGAAGAAGAU
rnacentral:lncRNA from 1 species